AGAACACGAAGAGCAGAGCGGCCGACAGAGGAUUCUGAGACAGCUGAACAAUUCCACUCUGAGGUACUUACCUAAGAGAGACGGCAACCUAGACCCACACAAAGACCUAACUUGAACGCCCACACCAGCUUCCUCCACGACGGCCCCGGACUGCACCAGCCCCGGAUGCCUUUGGACAAACAACCCAGCUGUGGUCCAUUGUACAGCGGGACACGACUCAGCAACAAAAAGGAAUGACCUGGCGCGGGAGGCGACACCUAAGCAGGCAGACCCGAAGGAAAACUGUGAAAUUUGGGAUUCCAUUUCUUCUUUAAAAUACAAAUAGUGGCAAAGGCAAAUCUUGGACACUCAUGCAAUGUGCUUGUCCCCAGUUUUUGGACACUACUGCUACGUACCGUCCCCAGAUGUUGGCACCAGUACAAAGUAAGUUUUCCAGAAUUGCUUCCAUGCUGGUAGAGAAUUACAAUAACUGAUUUCAAACCCAGAGAGACAUAGCUGGGGGUGGGGA